rnacentral:ncRNA from 1 species
UUUUUCGGGGCAGGGUGCGAUUCCCUACUGGCGGUAUAGUCCGCGACCCGCUUAGGCGGCUGAUCCGGUGUGACUCCGGGACCAACAGUAUAGUCUGGAUGGAAGAAC